rnacentral:rRNA from 1 species
AGAGUUUGAUCAUGGCUCAGGAUGAACGCUAGCGGGAGGCCUAACACAUGCAAGCCGAGCGGUAUUGUUCUUCGGAAAUGAGAGAGCGGCGUACGGGUGCGGAACACGUGUGCAACCUGCCUUUAUCUGGGGGAUAGCCUUUACGAAAGGAAGAUUAAUACUCCAUAAUAUAUUGAUUGGCAUCAAUUAAUAUUGAAAGCUCCGGCGGAUAGAGAUGGGCACGCGCAAGAUUAGCUAGUUGGUGAGGUAACGGCUCACCAAGGCGAUGAUCUUUAGGGGGCCUGAGAGGGUGAUCCCCCACACUGGUACUGAGACACGGACCAGACUCCUACGGGAGGCAGCAGUGAGGAAUAUUGGUCAAUGGGUGCAAGCCUGAACCAGCCAUCCCGCGUGAAGGACGACUGCCCUAUGGGUUGUAAACUUCUUUUGUAUAGGGAUAAACCUACCCUCGUGAGGGUAGCUGAAGGUACUAUACGAAUAAGCACCGGCUAACUCCGUG